CUCGAUUUCAUUCAUUGAAAUUUAGUUUGACAAACUCGAGAUGUUAGUUUGCUAAAAUGUUUCAAAAAUAUGCUAACUAACGAAAUUGUUGCUAAAAUGAUGCUAAAUGGAAAAAAAUCCCUUGAAAGCAGAUUCGAAAUAGCAAAUUCAAAUUUAAGAUGUGAAUGGGUGGGUACUGAAAAUUUCGUAUCUGAAAUCCUUUUCAAAAUUUGUUUUACGUAUUGUGGGUCAUUUCCCCAACGCUAAACAAAAUGCUUUUUCUGCUGAAGCUGGGUCAUUGUUUCCAACUUCUCACUCAGCACUGCCUCGCUCACCGUUGCACACCUCCUUCGCGUUUCCUCCUUGUAAUCUCUCGCUUCUUGAUCAAGAUAUUCAAAUGCUUUGAUGAGCAAUCCAAACUUUUAAAUCUAAGAGGUAGUUGUUCCUCUAACAAAGGAUAAGAAUGCUUGCUCCAAGAUUCAAGCAAUGAAUAGGGUGAGUCUACUUUCCAUUUUGACAAACUUGGAGCAAAGGGAGCCUCGGCUUGCCAAGGAUGAAGAUGAGGAUGAGCAAUAGGCCAAGGAUGAGGAUCAACAAGUUGAAUGUGAAGGAGCUGUCAGUAUUGGCUUGGAUGACAAGAUGAGAUGGAUAAGUAAUAAAGUUCUAAGACUGAAGUUUGGCUGGUCUCCUUAAACAAUAGGAUUUGUUAGUUAGAGAUAGAAAUUAAUAAUAACUUAUUUCCUAGACUUUUGGAAGUGUAGAGGAUAGGAUUAGGUUGUUUGCUAGUUAGUUGUUAUUAACUUUAUGUUAAUAGUUGGUGCUUAUCAUAAGUUGUAUUGCACAUAUGUUGUGCAUUGAAUGCUAUUUAAAGGGAAACAAAUUAAUAAAGAUGGAAGCAUAACACUCAAAUUCAUGAGUUAUUGAGGUCA